rnacentral:rRNA from 1 species
UACGUAGGGGGGCAAGCGUUGUCCGGAAUCAUUGGGCGUAAAGCGCGUGUAGGCGGCUCGGUAAGUCUGCUGUGAAAGUCCAGGGCUCAACCCUGGGAUGCCGGUGGAUACUGUCGAGCUCGAGUCCGGAAGAGGCGAGUGGAAUUCCUGGUGUAGCGGUGAAAUGCGCAGAUAUCAGGAGGAACACCGAUGGCGAAGGCAGCUCGCUGGGACGUGACUGACGCUGAGACGCGAAAGCGUGGGGAGCAAACAGG